rnacentral:rRNA from 1 species
GGUGGGAACUCUAGGGAUACUGCCGGGGACAACUCGGAGGAAGGUGGGGAUGACGUCAAAUCAUCAUGCCCCUUAUGUCUUGGGCUUCACACAUGCUACAAUGGCCGGUACAAUGGGCUGCGAUACCGUAAGGUGGAACGAAUCCCAAAAAGCCGGUCCCAGUUCGGAUUGAGGUCUGCAACUCGACCUCAUGAAGUCGGAUUCGCUAGUAAUCGCAGAUCAGC